UUUGUGAAUCUGUAUAGUAAAUGUCAUUAUAAAAUCCACACCGGUGCUAAAAUAUCAAUUCGCAAUAAUAGCGUCGUGACAGCAACACGCCGAGUCUCCCCGUGUGGCAACCACAAGCAAUUACCGUAAUGAGGUCAUAACUCUUCCCCUAAAAGCCGGUGGUGGUGGUGGUUCACUGACAAUCCCAUUACCAAAUUACAGCACGCGUGUAUCGCAUUAGCCUUGUCUAUGUGUUUAAACACCUCGCGUGGUUGUAACCCCCUAACUUGAUAAUUUCAUAAUAGCCAAGGGGCGAUAAGAAACAAACUAAAAGAGAGUUGUGUUUUUUAUGUAACUUCAUAAACAGCAAAGGGGCGGAAAAAUCUAGAUCCCUGGGGUGUGAUUCGAUAGUUUUGAACUGAUGUCAACCGAUGUCAUAUCACAAAAAUGGACAGAGAGAGUAUUGGAAAAGACGCACAAUUACCAUUGACUCAGUCGAAAUAUGUUUUGGCCAAAUAUGGAAUACAAGUUAUUGAUCCGCAACAUGAUCCUCUGGAAGAGACGUUUCUGGCGACGGGAAGUGUUACGGACGAUAUGCAUUAUCAUCCAGGACCUAGAGCUAUUGAAUGCAAAGCUGACGCCGGAAAAUUCGGCUGCGACCGCGACAGUUGCAUGCGCGUCCUCUGGUGUUACCUUUUCCCUUGUGCGUUGCUCGAAAGCUGCUUGGUGGCACUUUGCGACUGCUGGUGGGAAUGCUUUAGCGGUUGUCUUCGUCGCAUGGAAGAGCACUAUACGUUCCAAUGUUGCGAAAGGUGUUGUAAACUGCAAGAGAAUUAAAGAGUUAAAAUAACAUG